CCAGGGCCCACCUCCCAGAGCUCCCCCGCGCCCCCCACGCGUGUCCCGCCCGCCCCAAAUCCCUGCCCUUCCAGCCGGAGCCCAGCAGCCAGCAGCAGCCUUAAAGCCGGGGCCAUGUGCCCUCAGCGGCACUAAAUCCCGAGCCAGAGCCCUCGGAGAUGCCUGAAAGGAAAAGGGGAUGCUCGGAGAAAGUUGGGCUUGGAGGCAAUUCGCAGUUUUUCGGGGACCCAACCGCAACCGCAGAACCCGUGGACAGCUGGAACAGGUGGGGCAGAGCCGAGGUGCCCUGAAGGCAGGGAUGUGCAUCCCUUCGCUCGGGGAAAAGAACUUGCCGGGGCCGCUGCCGAGGCUCCCAAGGGACAGCGGCUUCCCGGCCGGAGAGACGUCCUCGCCCGUGCUCAGGGGCUGCCUCGCCCCGGGCCGGGAGCGCGUCCGGCCCCCGCCUUCUCCUGGGCGAACCCAUCCCCUGGAGCCCGGCCCGGGGCGGAGAAUCGGCCCAAUUCCAGCCGACUCGCUCAAGUCCCCCCAGGGACGCCGCCGGGGCCGGGGCAGGAGGGUUACAAACAGCAAAGUCUGUGCAACAUCAACCUGUCCUUGUCCCGAUCCCGCUCAGCAAACCUGGAACCGCGGCUGCUUCCCGGCAAACCUGGCCUUAAAGCGGCAGCUCUGCAGGGGAAUAGCCGGGCUCCAGGAGGCACUGGGAGGCUGUUCCAGCAGGAAUUCCCCAUGGAAUUGCGGGCUGUAGUUUCCCAGGGAGAAGAACAGGAACUCACAGCCACCAAGGCCUGACAGUCCCCUGCAGCCAGAGCUCAGCACACACCCAGAGAGGCAAUUCCAGCAUCUAAAGGAAAAAAAAAAAAAGAAGAAAGUGAUUUAUUUUGUUUUAAAGUUCCUUUAAGUUGUUCCAAGCAAAGCAAGCCCUGCUUUGGUUUCAGUUGGGUGAACAGGGAGCGCUGGGCACAGGGCACGUCAUUAAUGCCCAGGGGAUGGGGCUUUGUGGGGGAAGAGCAGCUGAUGGAGUUGCCCAGUCCAAUUCCUGCCCAAGGCCUGAUGGCCCAGGACAAACCCUCUGGCAGGCAGUGGGUUUGUUCCCUCUCCUGGUCUGUGCCCAGUGUGUCCCUGUGGGCAGUGCCAGGCUGGGGACAGGCACACGCAGCUGGCAGCACUCUCUGCUCCAAAGACACUUCUGGCCUCCUUGGAAACUGCCUCUGACACUUGGAUUUCUCCAGGAGAAAUUAAGGAAUUGCUCGUGGCAGUUUGGAGAUGAAGGUAUCCCAAAGGGAAGGAAAGAACAAAUAUUCCUGUCAGAGCCCUUGGGAUCUGCUGGGCUGAAUUGGGAAGGGUCCCUUAUCUGCAGAGCAAAUACAGGACAACCUCAAACACAAAGCCCAGACUGUCCAGUGGGGCGUGAAAGCAGCACUGGGACAAAACUCCACUCUCCUGAUUCUCUUCAGGGACUGCUCCAAUCCAGCUCUGAAGCUGCCAAGCCCAAACUGUCCCCAGCGCUCUGGAACAACAGGAUCUUCCCAGGGAUGAUGUAUUGGAAACACAGCCCUCAUUCUCACCCUCCACACGCUCCCAGGCUCACCCCAAAUUCAGGACAAGGGGCCAAAGGCCACUCGGGCCGGGGCUCUCUCUGUCUCUGCGGGCUCAGGGACUGCAGCCACCAGGGCCCUCCAGCACGGACAGCCUGGACCCAGAGCAGAUCCCUGGGCAUUAGCAGCAUCCUGGGCAUACCUGGAGACAGAAACCAUCAGCCUCUGGGGACAGCACUUCAUUGCCAGCACACACAGCCUGCCAAAUUUAGGGCUGCAGCUCUCGGACCACAAAGCCCAGUCUGACCCAGUUCUCCUGGGCACCAACACGGACUCCACAAACCCACAGGAAUGACAAUCUUCUGCUGCUUUGACAAACUUCAGCCCAGCUUUGCAAACCUCAGUCCCUGCAGCUCCCUGCUCUCCAGAGCCCCGUUCAGGGCUGGCUCCAGUUCCCUGGAGAACCUGCCCCAGCCCCACUCUGGGCCAGCCUGAGCAGAAGCCACUGGGCUGCACAAGGAAGAACCCUCCCCUGGCUGCUGCAGCUGGAGGGAGAUCCAGCUCCCAAUGGAAGGCUGGCAACAGCCUCCAGAUGGUCUCUCCCCAGCCCUUGGCAGUGGCUCAGGAUGGCAGCAGCUCCAGUGCCAGCUCGGUCCCUGCACGAGUCCUUGUCCCAGCCCUGCCACACGGACACACACGGGAGACACCCACGGGCACACAGGCCUUGCUUGCACAAUUCCUCACCCACAGCUGAGGGAAAGCCACACAAUAGUAAGAAAUACCCUGUGCUGAGAGCACUCAUCACUCCAGUCCAUCAGGAGUUGGAGGCAGUUUGGUAGGGAACCCACAUUCUGACCCCACCUCUACAUUUCUAACAGGUUCUCUUAGAAAGAUCCUGGACAGGAACUCAGACAACAGAACCCAAAGACUGCCCAAGCAAUAACAGAAGGUUUACCAGGAAGAACAGGAGUUCCUUGUUUUCCUUAACACUCUGGGACUGUAGGACCCAAUCUUUGCAACCAAGGGACACCAGAGAUGUGAUUAAUACUUAAACCUCUCCCCCAUGGUGCUGUCUCAGAGAAAUGGGCCAGCCCUGAGCUACUCCCAGGUGCCUGCAGUGCUUUGGGGAGGGGCAGGACGACGCCCCACUUCUACUUGGAAACAUCCAAGAUGAGGAAAAGCCACUUCCCUUCUCUCUCUCUGACCCAGAACCAAAGCAGUCCUGUGGGACAACACGGACUAUGCAUGGAAGGCCCGAGUCAGUGGGGGAAAAAGCACCCUAAACAAAGGAAACCACCCCAAAUUUCCAGAUAAAAACAGGCUGUGCUCCUUAACAGGAGCACACCAAACUCAUUGAAGCCAGAGAGGAAAUCACAAACAAAUAAAAGACCCAAAAGGAUGCUUUGCACUGA